rnacentral:rRNA from 1 species
AAUGAACGCUGGCGGCAGGCUUAACACAUGCAAGUCGAGCGAGCGGCGGACGGGUGAGUAACGUCUGGGAAACUGCCUGAUGGAGGGGGAUCACUACUGGAAAAGGUAGCUAAUUACGCCUACCAUACGAUGUGCCCAGAUGGGAUUAGCUAGUAGGUGUGGUAAUGGCUCACAUAGGCGAGGAUCCCUAGCUGGUCGGAGAGGAUGACCAGCCACACUGGAACUGAGCCACGGUCCAGACUCCUAGGGGAGGCAGAAGUGGGGAAGAUUGCACAAUGGGCGCAAGCCUGAUGAAGCCAUGCCGGUGGUGUGAAGAAGGCCUUCGGGUUGAAAAGCACUUUCAUCGAGGAGGCGUUACUCGCAGAAGAAGCACCGGCUAACUCCGUGCCAGCAGCCGCGGUAAUUC